rnacentral:rRNA from 1 species
AUGAGUACAUCGAGACCCCCAACGCCAAGCACCCCUGCGUCAAAGAUUCAACGCACACCAACGGUUACCCCUGGUGGCAGCUCCAGGGCCCAGGAGGAGAAGAUCCUUGUCACUGUGAGGGUGCGACCAUUGAGCAAGAGGGAAUUGGCCAUGAAGGACCAGAAGGUGGCAUGGGAAUGCGCUGAUAGUCAGACAAUCUUAUACAAGGGCCCACAACAGGAUCGGGCAGCACCCACCUCUUACACUUUUGAUAAGGUGUUUGGGCCAGCUUGCCAGACGGACUUGGUUUAUGAAGAUGGAGCUAAGGAUGUUGCUAUGUCAGCAUUGACAGGCAUUAAUGCCACAAUCUUUGCUUAUGGUCAGACAAGUAGUGGCAAAACAUUCACCAUGAGAGGUGUGACAGAGAGCGCUGUCCGUGACAUUUACAAACACAUCGAAAAUAAUCCUGAAAGGGAAUUUAUUAUCAAGAUAUCAGCUAUGGAAAUAUACAAUGAGAAUGUGAAGGAUCUUCUACGACCUGACUCUGGUCCCCUUCGCUUGUUAGAUGAUCCUGAGAAAGGAACCAUCGUGGAGAAGUUGGAUGAAGAAAUCGCCAAGGAUAGCCAACAUCUAAGGCAUCUAAUAGGCAUUUGUGAAGAACAAAGACAGGUUGGGGAAACUGCACUAAACGAUGCAAGUUCACGUUCGCACCAAAUCAUUAGGCUGACUGUGGAGAGUAGGCUCCGUGAAGCAUCAGGCUGUGUUAAAUCUUUUGUUGCUAACCUGAAUUUUGUUGACCUUGCUGGAAGCGAGCGUGCUGCACAAACACAUGCAAUUGGUGCAAGAUUGAAAGAAGGCGGCCAUAUUAAUCGCAGCUUGUUGACUUUGACUACUGUCAUCCGAAAGCUAAGCUCAGAGAAGAGAAGUGGCCACAUACCCUACCGGGAUUCAAAGCUCACCCGUAUUCUGCAGCUUUCUUUGGGCGGAAAUGCAAGAACAGCCAUCAUCUGCACCAUGAGCCCAGCCCUAACACAUGCAGAACAAUCUAGGAAUACUUUAUUCUUUGCGACAUGUGCCAAGGAGGUCACGAAUACUGCAAAAGUUAACAUGGUUGUAUCUGAUAAGCAACUUGUUAAGCAUCUACAGACAGAAGUUGCUAGGCUAGAAGCAGAACUGAGGACCCCUGACCGUGCCUCCCCUUCUGAUAUCCUCGCCAGAAAGAUUAAGCAGAUGGAAAUGGAGAUGGAAGAGCUACGGAAGCAACGAGAUAGCGCACAGUUAGCACUUGAAGAAAUACAAAAAAGGACGGGUGAUAACCAGCCAGGGUGGAAUCCCUUUGACUCACCACAAAAGACCAGAAAGUGCCUCACAUUCUCUGAGCCAAGUAAUAAUAAGAUUAAGAUGAGGAGCUCGGUUAGACAAUCAUCCACUGCUCCAUUUAUGUUAAAACAUGAAAUUCGCAAGCUUGAGCAGCUACAACAACAACUUGAGGUUGAAGCGAACCGAGCAAUUGAUGUACUGCACAAGGAGGUUGAAUGCCACAAACAUGGGAACCAAGAUGCAGCAGAAACUAUUGCUAAACUUCAGGCAGAAAUCAGGGAGAUGCAAUCUUUUAGAUCUGAGAACAGAGAUGUUGAGAUGGUUACAGAUGAAGGAAAUGGGUCUGACUUGAAAGAUGAAAUUACUAGACUUCAUCUGCAAGACAGUGAUAUUGCCAAACUUGAGGCAAAACUAGAAAAUGUACAGAGAUCUAUUGACAAAUUGGUAAUGUCACUUCCGAAUGCUGAGACUACUCCGAAGUCCAACAGAUCAAAGAAGAAGAAGAGGAUGCUUCUUCCACUGGGUGUAAGCAAAAGACCAAAUCUGAUAAGAGCACCUUGCACUCCCCACUCUUCUAGCAGGCCUUUGGAGUCGGAAGUUGAAAAUAGGGCUCCAGAGGGGGAGAAGGUGUCCCAUGAGGGUUCAGAAAAGGCUACUCCCACCAAGAGUGAAGACACUGGGGAUUUAUCAUCACGUGAUGAAACUCCACGCAGGCGAUCCAGCUCAGUGAACAUGAAAAGAAUGCAGAAGAUGUUCCAAAAUGCUGCCGAAGAAAACGUGAGAAGUAUUAGGGAUUAUGUCACUGAACUGAAGGAGAGAGUGGCAAAACUUCAGUACCAAAAACAGCUACUUGUCUGCCAGGUAUUGGAGUUGGAAUCUAACGAAGGCAAAGCAAAUGAUAUGGAUGAAGAUCCAGUUGAAAAUGCCGGAUCUCAACAGGAUGGUCCUGAAUCAUGGGAGAUAUUAUUUAAGGAGCAGAUGCAGCACAUUAUACAAUUGUGGGAUCUCUGUCAUGUAUCAAUCAUACACAGGACCCAGUUCUACCUGUUAUUCAGAGGGGAUAUGGCUGAUCAGAUAUACAUCGAGGUUGAAGUCAGAAGAUUGGCAUGGCUGCAGCAGCAUUUCGCCGAGGUCGGUGACGCAAGCCCUGCUGCACUUGGUGAUGACCCUGCAGUUUCUCUAGCCUUAAGUAUGAAGGCGUUGAGGAAUGAGCGAGAAUUUCUUGCGAGAAGGAUGGGCUCAAGGCUGACAGAAGAAGAGCGGGAGCGCCUCUUCAUCAAAUGGCAAGUCCCCCUCGAGGCGAAGCAGAGGAAGCUGCAGCUUGUGAACAAGCUCUGGGCAGAUCCCAACGACAAAGCGCACAUUGAGGAGAGCGCCGACAUAGUGGCCCGGCUGGUUGGCUUUUGUGAGGGUGGGAACAUCAGCAAGGAGAUGUUUGAGCUCAAUUUUGCGCUCCCUGCGAGUAGGAAGCCAUGGCUGAUGGGCUGGCAGCCAAUCUCAAACAUGAUCAAGGAGAAAACUCGCCAGUUGGUUUCGACUCCAUUACAGUGA